GUAGUGGUGGUUCAGUGGUAGAAUUUUUGCCUCCCAUGUGGAAGACCUAGGUUCAAUUCCUGGCCAGCACA
rnacentral:tRNA from 1 species